rnacentral:tRNA from 3 species
GGACAGGUGGCGGAAUUGGCAUACGCGCACCGUUCAGGGCGGUGUGGCUGUUGAAGCCGUGCGGGUUCAAGUCCCGCCCUGUCCA